rnacentral:misc_RNA from 1 species
UCCCCGUUAACCGGGGCAGUCCCCCUAGAGUUCCCGGCCUGACCCGUUGGCAACUAGGGGCGAGGGUUGCGCUCGUUGCGGGACUUAACCCAACAUCUCACGACACGAGCUGACGACAGCCAUGCACCACCUGUGACGGUGCCCCGAAGGGAGAGUGUGUUUCCACACCUGUCACCGACAUGUCAAGCCCAGGUAAGGUUCUUCGCGUUGCUUCGAAUUAAACCACAUGCUCCGCUGCUUGUGCGGGCCCCCGUCAAUUCCUUUGAGUUUCAGUCUUGCGACCGUACUCCCCAGGCGGGGCACUUAAUGCGUUAGCUUCGGCACGGGAGGAGUCGACACCUCCCACACCUAGUGCCCAUCGUUUACGGUGUGGACUAC